AAUACUUGUUCAGUCAAAAGUUUGUUCAUGCUAAUUCACAACUACAUUGUGAAUUAUAGCCAGCUUAUUAUUCAGACUCUUUAAAUCAUGAUAUAUCCUUAAAUUGUAUUUAAACUUGCUGGGCAACUUUCAUGCUCACCCUUGCUAUAUCAUGAUAAAACAUUGCAGAUUAAGGUGAAUGCGUUGGAUACAAUGGAAUUUAAAGACAGUUCCAGCUUAAAGUUAAUGUGCGCGAUUAGUUUUGUAAUAGUCUUGUAUGAUAAUGAUGUCAUAUGUUAGAUAAGUUAUGAAUUGUGUAUAAGUUAUGGUUACUCGACCU
rnacentral:lncRNA from 1 species